UACGUAGGGGCUAGCGUUGUCCGGAAUCAUUGGGCGUAAAGCGCGUGUAGGCGGUCCGGUAAGUCCGCUGUGAAAGUCGGGGGCUCAACCCUCGAAUGCCGGUGGAUACUGUCGGGCUAGAGUGCGGAAGAGCGAGUGGAAUUCCUGGGUGAUAGCGGUGGAAAUACGCAGAUAUCAGGAGGAACACCAAUUGCGAAGGCAGCUCGCUGGGACGGUACUGACGCUGAGACGCGAAAGCGUGGGGAGCAAACAGG
rnacentral:rRNA from 1 species